GACGGAAGGUGCAAGCGUUGCUCGGAAUCACUGGGCGUAAAGGGUGCGUAGGCGGCCAUGCAAGUCGGAUGUGAAAUCCCUCGGCUCAACCGAGGAACUGCAUCCGAUACUGGCGGGCUUGAAUCCGGGAGAGGGAUGUGGAAUUCCAGGUGUAGCGGUGAAAUGCGUAGAUAUCUGGAGGAACACCGGUGGCGAAGGCGGCAUCCUGGACCGGUAUUGACGCUGAGGCGCGAAAGCUAGGGGAGCAAACGGG
rnacentral:rRNA from 1 species